UCCUCAGCUGUCAGGUACAUUUCUUCUUCUUCACGUCCCUUUGUAUUUGUUCUUUUAGUUCUGUUGGACCCGGUGCGGUCUGAUGAGAGGAAGCCACGGACCCACCGGACACUAAAGACAAGCACGAAUGGUGGGCGCGUGCAGCAGAUCAGCAGAUCAGAAGACGUUUUGCUGAGUCAUCACUCGCCGGGGAUCAGCAGUGUCAUCGGAAAACGCUCCCAGAAUGUGAGCCUGGAUGGACACAAUGUGUUUCCCUGCUGUGGUUGUGGAAGCUGCCAUUGUGUUUUCCAGCUCGGUCCAAUAAUAACAAGAGAUACACUCACGCUUGGUUCCAGCUCAGCUCUCUUUUUUUAUUGAAUUCGAUAUCCCCAAAUUUCUGAAAGUCAAAACAGCAAUAACCCAGUUUCAACAACAGUCACACUUUAGUCCAGGAGACCAUCGUAUUAAAAAACAUUCCUCUCCUGUGCAGCUUGUCUCCCGUUUCACCUUAAGGACCAGCUACUUCAUGAAUAUGUAUCGCGUGUAAACAUAAAGGAUUAAAAUCUCUCCUUCGGUUCCCUCCCGCCUCCUUCCCUUCCUCACCAUCUCUGUCUCUCUUCUCUCAGCUGUUCAAAUAUUGUCCUUCUAUUCAUACGGCUCGGGGAAAUAUUUACCCUGGGCCAGUGAGGCAGGUUGGAUGUGAGCGGGCAUCAUCUCAGCCUGUCAAAUUAGCUGCCGCUCGCUGCCUGCUAAUGUCUCCGUAAUUGGAAAGGCUGGCAGUGCGGCCCGUCCGACCGCUGCCACCGCCGCCCGUCUCAGAGGGUCGAGAUGCUGAGCCGCAACCGGCGAGGUGCCCUCAGCAGCGCCGAAAGCCGUUGGUCGACGCGAGCUCGGCCUGUGAGCUCGGCCUGUGAGCUCGGCCUGUGAGCUCGGCCUGUGAGCGCUCGCUGUUCACUGAUGCUGUCGAGCCGUUCUAAUCUCCGCUGUUUAGACAGAUGUUCUGGGGAAAGUGUUAUAAGAAUACAUUUAUUACUUACUUUUUAUUAUUUCUGGCCGCUCAAGUUGGGUUGUUAGCACCUCAACGCUUUUGUAACACGCUGCAGACCUUUUGGCCAUGUCUGCCAUGAAUAAAUUCAUAAUUUAUUACUACAAUUAUGUCUCAUUCUCCUUACAAAAACAAUUGGUUUUGCAUACCUCAACAACACGAGAUCUUUAAAGUCACUGACAUUCAUACAUUUGUGAUGUGCUUUUGUUUUCUAUUGCUUAUGUUUUUCACUCUGGACUGAUUUGUUGUUGUGCUUUCUUUAUUUCGACCUGCCAGUGACUUCAGAUGUGAAUUAGCUCAAAGCUGUAGUUCAAGUUGUGACAUUUACAAUUUAACCAUGGAUUGUCAAUUUUAAAUAAAAUGAAUGAUUAUGACAAUGUUAGAAGAAACGUGUAAUAUUACAUCUCGGUUAAUGCAUUAUAUACAAACACUUGUCUGCAUGCCUCAUGCAAGCUGUGUUUCAAACCCAAGCAUGCGAGCUGCAGGUACGCUCGUGUCAUGAAUAAUUCAAAAGUAACAUGUAGAAUAUGCAGGAAAAAAAAAUGAAAACAGGACCCAAAGGAAAUGAAGCACAAGCGGAUGUUUACUCUUUUGAAAACAGCUGAAAGAGAGCAGGCAAUAAAACAGUGAUGGAAGUGGUUAACAGUAGAGCUGGGGAGCUAAUGGAGAGCCACAUGUCCUACUAAAAAGACUCCUCCUGCAGACAAGGAGAUGGGCUGGAGCGUGAGGACGGGGGGGGCGGAGGAGGAAGGGAAGAAAAGCAGCCGCGGCGCUGAUAUUGAUCUUCUGCCAGAGAGAUUGAUAGAGCAAUAAGGAGCCGAGGAGAGGAGAGAUGAGAAGUGGAGGAGGAGGAGGAGGAGGAGGAGNNNNNNNNNNNNNNNNNNNNNNNNNNNNNNNNNNNNNNNNNNNNNNNNNNNNNNNNNNNNNNNNNNNNNNNNNNNNNNNNNNNNNNNNNNNNNNNNNNNNGGGGGUGAUGUUGAUAAAGUAAACCAGCGAGUCACAUCAUUUGAGAGGUGAAAGAUCAGGUGUCUCUUCCUUAAUUAGGUCAAGGAGAGCAGAGCGACGGGGUGACGGAUGAAUUAAAGGAGAUGGGGGGUGGAGGGGGGGUGAAGCGAUGGAGACAGAAACGGAGAGCGAGAGAGAUGAUUGGAUUUCAUGUGUAAAGCGGGAAUUGUGUGUUGAGGCCAGCCGAGACACUAAAGGUGACCCCCGAGCCGCCUAAUGGCACAAUACAUAUUCUUUAAUGAAGUCACAUCUAACUACGGCUCCACCGGCACCUCCUGUGUGAGUGUGAGUGAAGGUGUCAGUGUGUGUGGGGGUUGUGCGCUCAGAUAGACAUCGUGACAUUUGAAGCAACAUUUUUCAGCAGCCCACAUCUCGGUAUGUGCGUGUGUGUGUGUGUGUGUGUGUGUGUGUGUGUGUGUGU
ensembl:lncRNA